GAGUUUGAUCUUGGCUCAGAUUGAACGCUGGCGGCAUGCCUUACACAUGCAAGUCGAACGGCAGCACGGGAGCUUGCUCCUGGUGGCGAGUGGCGAACGGGUGAGUAAUGCAUCGGAACGUAUCCUGGAGUGGGGGAUAACGUAGCGAAAGUUACGCUAAUACCGCAUAUUCUGUGAGCAGGAAAGCGGGGGACCUUCGGGCCUCGCGCUCUUGGAGCGGCCGAUGUCGGAUUAGCUAGUUGGUGAGGUAAAGGCUCACCAAGGCGACGAUCCGUAGCAGGUCUGAGAGGAUGAUCUGCCACACUGGAACUGAGACACGGUCCAGACUCCUACGGGAGGCAGCAGUGGGGAAUUUUGGACAAUGGGGGCAACCCUGAUCCAGCCAUGCCGCGUGAGUGAAGAAGGCCUCGGUUGUAAGUACUCUUCGUCG
rnacentral:rRNA from 1 species